AAUCAACGCUGGCGGCGUGCCUCAGACAUGCAAGUCGAACGCGAAAGCCCCUUCGGGGGGCAAGUAGAGUGGCGCACGGGUGAGUAACACGUAGGUAAUCUACCUUUGGAUGGGGAAUAACAACCGGAAACGGUUGCUAAUACCGCAUAAUGCAGCGGCACCUAAUGGUGACAGUUGUUAAAGCGGGGGAUCGAAAGACCUCGCGUCUGAAGAGGAGCCUGCGGCGGAUUAGCUAGNGGUAAGGUAACGGCUUACCAAGGCGACGAUCCGUAGUCGGCCUGAGAGGGCGGUCGGCCACACUGACACUGACACACGGGUCAGACUCCUACGGGAGGCAGCAGUCGGGAAUUUUGGGCAAUGGGCG
rnacentral:rRNA from 1 species